rnacentral:rRNA from 1 species
ACAGCAGCGCCACGGUAAUACAGAGGGUGCGAGCGUUAAUCGGAUUUACUGGGCGUAAAGCGUGCGUAGGCGGCUUUUUAAGUCGGAUGUGAAAUCCCUGAGCUUAACUUAGGAAUUGCAUUCGAUACUGGGAAGCUAGAGUAUGGGAGAGGAUGGUAGAAUUUCAGGUGUAGCGGUGAAAUGCGUAGAGAUCUGGAGGAAUACCGAUGGCGAAGGCAGCCAUCUGGCCUAAUACUGACGCUGAGGUACGAAAGCAUGGGGAGCAAACAGGAUUAGAUACCCGGGUAGUCCCUGUCUCUUAUACA